AUAAAAGGUAUUUCGAUUCAUGAUCUUCACCAUGAACGUGGUGGUGGCUGGUAAAUCAAAGAUGGUUUCGUGCUCCUCUGUUUCUAGGUUGGCGUGGAACUACAUGGGAAGCUCAUUGAGGAGAAGAUGAUUUGUCUAAUAGAGUAUGAUACGAACUUGGUCAAGUUUGCUCUUGAUGAAGAAUUAAAGUGGUGAGUUUUCCUACAAAUUAGAUCCUUUGUUGAACUAUAUAUGUGUUUGUUUUUUUCUUCUUUUGUGCUAAUUAUUUAGUUGCUUGAUGGUGUAUUAGUGUGUUAUGGUUCUUCAUAGUUACCAGUUUCAGAAUCACAAAUUAACCUUAAAGUACCACUAAUUAAGGAAGCGACUCAGAGACACAAGUUAUGGAAUUGCAGAUAUAAAGACUUGAGCCUCUGCUAUGAAGUGUCCUACUGCUUUCUACGAAACAUUAGUUCUCGAUUUUUUUCGAGAGGCUUUACAAAAACAUGAAAGAGCACAAGAAUCCCAAGUUUCUUAGUGAAGGCUUGUUAUGGAUGGGUUCUGUUGUUGAUGACUUUGGUGUCUCACUUUCAAAACUUGAGGUUUUAAAGAUUUCUUCUACUUAGAUAUUCUAGGCCUCUCACUUCCCUGCUUUUCUUAACUGUAGUAUCUAAGUUAUUUUUAUUUUGACAAAGAGCUUUCUCUGUCCAUUUGGCAUGAUUUGAUAGAUUCUUGUAAUGAUCUUCUGCUCCAAUCUAGUACAGCUGCCACUAGAAUUGCUACAGUCAAAAUGUUGGGUGCUUUACACAAGUUUGUUUGCUAAGAUGUUAAAAGGGUUUCUUAAGCAUGUACUACUAAGUGCACUUGACGCUGAAUAUGAGGAAAAACAUGUAUGAGAUGCGUUUGGAUUCAAUGUGAGCUGUAAACCAAUUUCUGGAAGAGGUUAUUAAACGUAUCCAACCAACUGGAAUUGAUUCCUUAAAUUAUAAUUGCCUUAACAGAUGGGAAAAUGAGAGCAGAAGGACGUAAAGAUCUUUUUCGUUGGAUGAAAAAAUAGCUGGGUGGAGUAAGCGACUUUGUGGAUGUUAUACAUCUACUGAAACUUGCAAGCACAUCAAUGAUGGUUCAAAUCAGUAGGUAUGCGAGAAACAUGUGAAGGAUGAAUUCUGAGAGCUUGAGAGUUAGUGGACUAGAAACGAUUGAAAAGAAUAUCAAAAGAUAUCCAAGGCCUACUACACUAGCUCAAAUGGAAGAGUGAAGUAAGUUGUUCCUUGUACAUCUUGUCUCUUCAACAACACUUUCAGAACAAGGUAAGUUGUUCCUUCCUCUUGUCUCUUUUUCACAAAGAGUGAAUUAAUUUUUCUCUUUAUUUGCUCUCGUAUUUGAUAAUUCUCUUUGCUUCAUGCAUAUUUACUGGUCUUUGAGUUAUACAGGUCGUAAACACAAUCCGUAGUCCAGAAAAAUGAAGGAAGAGUCAAGUGGUAAAAUAUAUCGGUCUCUCGUAUCAAAGUAAGAAGUUAGUUAACACAAACAUAAAAAACACAA